rnacentral:rRNA from 1 species
UGCAUGGUUGUCGUCAGCUCUUGUCGUGAGAUGUUGGGUUAAGUCCCGCAACGAGCGCAACCCUUGAUCUUAGUUGCCAGCAUUCAGUUGGGCACUCUAAGGUGACUUCCGGUGACAAACCGGAGGAAGGUGGGGAUGACGUCAAAUCAUCAUUCCCCUUAUGACCUGGGCUACACACGUGCUACAAUGGACAGAACAAAGGGCAGCGAAACCGCGAGGUUAAGCCAAUCCCACAAAUCUGUUCUCAGUUCGGAUCGCAGUGUGCAACUCGACUGCGUGAAGCUGGAAUCGCUAGUAAUCGCGGAUCAGCAUGCCGCGGUGAAUACGUUCCCGGGCCUUGUACACACCGCCCGUCACACCACGAGAGUUUGUAACACCCGAAGUCGGUGAGGUAACCUUUUAGGAGCCAGCCGCCGAAGGUGGGACAGAUGAUGGGGUG